UCCCUAUGACUCAGAAGGUAAAGAAUCUGCCUGCAGUGCAGGAGACCCAGGUUCCAUCCCUGGGUUGGGAA
rnacentral:tRNA from 1 species